rnacentral:rRNA from 1 species
UACGUAGGGGGCAAGCGUUGUCCGGAUUUAUUGGGCGUAAAGAGCGUGUAGGCGGCCAAACAGGUCAGCUGUGAAGACUCGAGGCUCAACCUCGAGACGUCGGUUGAAACCGUUUGGCUAGAGUCCGGAAGAGGAGAGUGGAAUUCCCGGUGUAGCGGUGAAAUGCGCAGAUAUCGGGAAGAACACCCGUGGCGAAGGCGGCUCUCUGGGACGGUACUGACGCUGAGACGCGAAAGCGUGGGGAGCGAACAGG